rnacentral:rRNA from 1 species
GCCGGAAUUGCUAGUAAUGGCAGGUCAGCAUACUGCCGUGAAUACGUUCCCGGGCCUUGUACACACCGCCCGUCACACCAUGAGAGUUGGGAAUACCCGAAGCCUGUAAGCUAACUUUUAGAGGCAGCAGUCGAAGGUAGAAUCAAUGAUUGGGGUGAAGUCGUAACAAGGUAUC